CUUCACUGCUCCCAUUGGCCAGGAAUCACAGCUACUGGGAGCCGUGGUGGUGGGGGUGGUGCCUGCAAG
rnacentral:miRNA from 1 species